CAAUAGCGUAUAUUUAAGUUGCUGCAGUUAAAAAGCUCGUAGUUGGAUUUCGGGUGGGAAUGGCCGGUCCGCCGUUUGGUGUGCACUGGCUGGUUUCAACUUCCUGUAGAGGACGCGCUCUGGCUUCACGGCUGGACGCGGAGUCUACGUGGUUACUUUGAAAAAAUUAGAGUGUUCAAAGCGGGCUUACGCUUGAAUAUUUCAGCAUGGAAUAACACUAUAGGACUCCUGUCCUAUUUCGUUGGUCUCGGGACGGGAGUAAUGAUUAAGAGGAACAGUUGGGGGCAUUCGUAUUUCAUUGUCAGAGGUGAAAUUCUUGGAUUUAUGAAAGACGAACUUCUGCGAAAGCAUUUGCCAAGGAUGUUUUCAUUAA
rnacentral:rRNA from 1 species